rnacentral:misc_RNA from 1 species
AAAUGCGAUAAUUAAUGUGCAUUGCAGAAUUCAGUGAAUCAUCGAGUCUUUGAACGCACAUUGCGCCCCCUGGUAUUCCGGGGGGCAUGCCUGUCCGAGCGUCAUUGCUGCCCUCCAGCACGGCUUGUGUGUUGGGCUUCCGUCCCUGGCAACGGGGACGGGCCCAAAAGGCAGUGGCGGCACCAUGUCUGGUCCUCGAGCGUAUGGGGCUUUGUCACCCGCUCCCGUAGGUCCAGCUGGCAGCUAGCCUCGCAACCAAUCUUUUUAACCAGGUUGACCUCGGAUCAGGUAGGGAUACCCGCUGAACUUAAGC